GUAGUCAUGAUCUGACGUUCAAGGUGUUCGAGUGAAUUGAUAAGCAAUCACAUGUAAUUGGAAUUUGCAUGAUGCAACUGAAGAUUGAAUAUUGAAAAGAAUUCUGAUAUUCGUUUGCACACAGGUUCUAAUUCUCCUAACGAAGCUUGGGAGCAGAGCUUCGCUCUUUCUAAAAAUGCUGCUUGAGCAUCUUGCACUUUAUCUGGAUUUCCUCUCCACGUUUUCAAUGCUGCAUUCUUUGAAAAGAGUUAGGAUAUUUGAAGAUACUUGUAAAGCACGUCCGUAGCAAAACGUAAGAGGCCAAGGCUUUCUCCCUUCGUAAGCGUUAAUAGCAUUUAAAUUUAACACAGCAUCUUCAUCCGAUUGUCCUCCGCUUAGAAAUAUAACCGCUGGUACUGCUGGCGGCACUGUCCUCUGUAAAGCUGCUAACGUAUGUUCGGCAAUAAUCUGUACAUGUGUUUUAAUAAUUUGUAAUUAAAAAAUACCAAAUAUUUUUAUGCUAAUAAAAUAUUUGGUAUAAUUAUUUUUAUGCUAGUAGAAUAUCGCGUUAGAUAUUGCAGAAUUCAGUAGAAAUUCGAACUAAAAUACGUAGUUAACAAUCGCGUACAAAAUUAUACGAUACGAAACUUU
rnacentral:lncRNA from 1 species